rnacentral:rRNA from 1 species
UACGAAGGGGGCUAGCGUUGUUCGGAAUUACUGGGCGUAAAGCGUAUGCAGGCGGACUUUUAAGUCGGGGGUGAAAUCCCGAGGCUCAACCUCGGAACUGCCUUCGAUACUGAAAGUCUUGAGUCCGGGAGAGGUGAGUGGAACUGCGAGAGUAGAGGUGAAAUUCGUAGAUAUUCGCGAGAACACCAGUGGCGAAGGCGGCUCACUGGCCCGGUACUGACGCUGAGGCGCGAAAGCUAGGGGAGCGAACAGG